AGGAGGGAAAACACGUGUGCCCUGCAGACACACGUGAUCCAGAGCCUGCUGCCACUCUUCUUCCUCUCGCAUGAUGAGAAGGAGCAUCUGGCAGAUGCCUCUUGGGAAGUGCUGAUUUGUGCACUCAGAUUCCUGAAGAGAAGGGAUCUCAAGAACCUGCUGGAGGCAGACAAGCCGUGGUGGUUCUGCGACUGCCUGGUAGAAAGCGAGAAGAAACAAGUGGUGGAGUUCAUGUGGCAGGACCUGCCAUACCUGGAGAGCCCACAGGAGCCCCUGCGAGAGUUGGCCCUCAGGUUCAUUGGGAUCACCGGGAAGUACCUGAGAAAGGGGCAGGAGGACGAGCUCAUCACAGAGGUCAUAAUUGACACCCUUCAAGGCAUGACUGCUGACAGCCCUGCCAUCUCAAGGCGGGCAGUUGAAACCUUGAAAAUCAUCAAGGAUGUCCAGAAAUCUAAACCAACACCAA